rnacentral:lncRNA from 1 species
UUUGACCUGAGGCAUCACAGUUGUCUUGUGGUUAGGUCAUUGAUCUUUGAUUAUGUCAAAGUCACCCCAUCCCCGAGUGUCCACGGCAUCGUCAGGGUUAAGCCACUUAGCCAUGGAGGCAAGUGAAUGCGCAACAAGGGAUCUCUAACCUUCAAACCAUUUGGGGGAGAAUACUCUAUGAUAUGAUUAAGAAUCUCUGACCAGAGUAUGAAUGAGAUUUAGGAAGUCGUUCCAAAUCACAUUCAAGGUAAUCAUAUAAGCACACGAAUC